rnacentral:rRNA from 1 species
GACGAACGCUGGCGGCGUGCUUAACACAUGCAAGUCGAACGGUGAAGCGCCUUCCUUUUUGGUGGGUGUGGAUGAGUGGCGAACGGGUGAGUAACACGUGAGUAACCUGCCCCCUUCUUCUGGAUAACCGCAUGAAAGUGUGGCUAAUACGGGAUAUUCUGGGUCUGUCGCAUGAUGGGUCUGGGAAAGAUAUUGUUUCGGUGGGGGAUGGGCUCGCGGCCUAUCAGCUUGUUGGUGGGGUGAUGGCCUACCAAGGCGGUGGCGGGUAGCCGGCCUGAGAGGGUGGACGGUCACACUGGGACUGAGACACGGCCCAGACUCCUACGGGAGGCAGCAGUGGGGAAUAUUGCACAAUGGGCGCAAGACUGAUGCAGCGACGCCGCGUGAGGGAUGGAGGCCUUCGGGUUGUGAACCUCUUUCGCCAGUGAAGCAGGCCUGCCUCGUUUGUGGGUGGGUUGACGGUAGCUGGAUAAGAAGCGCCGGCUAACUACGUG